GGUGAGAGUUGGGGAGAGGAGGGGGGAAAACAGGAGGGUGAAAGGGGUGUGCGGAGUUAUGGGACGUAAAGCGCGUGUAUGCGGCUUGGCAAGACGGGUGUGAAAGCCCUCAGCUCAACUGAUGAAGUGCGCCCGAAACAGCAGAGCUUGAAUACCGGAGAGGAUGGCGGAAUACCCCAAGUAGAGGUGAAAUUCGGAGAUAUGGGGAGGAACACCGGUGGCGAAGGCGGCCAUCUGGACGGCUAUUGACGCUGAGACGCGAAAGCGUGGGGAGCAAACAGGAUUAGAUACCCGAGUAGC
rnacentral:rRNA from 1 species